AAGUUUAGGUAACUCAAACCAAGAGCCUUCAAAGCCCUAAACAGGGGAACCACCCCUAACUCCUG
rnacentral:tRNA from 1 species